UGGCAAGCUUGGAGUAGAUGCAGUUGGAGAGUUAAGUUUUUCAUCACUGAGGCUGAAACUGCUCCUGUAGAGUGAAUCUGCACUCUCGGAGUCGCUGAGGCCGCUGCCGUCGCUGACGCUGGCGCUGCUCCGCCGCUUCAUGCGCUCCAGGUGCUCGCCGUAGUGGAAGCGGCUCCGGCCGGCGGGGCAGGCGAAGUCCUCCAGCACCGCCUCGAACUCGCCCAGCGCCUCCGCCAGCCCGCCCGCCUCCUCCGGCAACGCCGCGGGGCGCCGGCCGCCGGCUUGGCCCGCCGGACGCUGCACUUGAGGCGGC
rnacentral:lncRNA from 1 species